CCUGCAAUACUGGCACUAGGUUAAAUGUCAAUUGUAUUGAUCGUUUAACACUAGAAUAAUUCUUAGUUAUUGAUCAACCAUCCGAUCGGAUCGUGAACUCUAAAAUGUGUGACCUCAUAGGUCCGAAUCUAAGUCGGUAGCACAAAAAUAAAUUUUUAUACUAAUCGAAGUGACCAUCUAGUAAUGGUACCCGACGGUCGGAUAGGUCGAAUAUAUAGAACAAUAUCCUUAG
rnacentral:lncRNA from 1 species